ACUCCUACGGGAGGCAGCAGUGGGGAAUAUUGGACAAUGGGCGAAAGCCUGAUCCAGCCAUGCCGGCGUGUGUGAAGAAGGUCUUCGGAUUGUAAAGCACUUUAAGUUGGGAGGAAGGGUUGUAGAUUAAUACUCUGCCAAUUUUGACGUUACCGACAGAAUAAGCACCGGCUAAACUCUGUGCCAGCAGCCGCGGUAAUACAGAGGGUGCAAGCGUUAAUCGGAAUUACUGGGCGUAAAGCGCGCGUAGGUGGUUUGUUAAGUUGGAUGUGAAAUCCCCGGGGCUCAACCUGGGAACUGCAUCCAAAACUGGCAAGCUAGAGUAUGGUAGAGGGUGGUGGAAUUUCCUGUGUAGCGGUGAAAUGCGUAGAUAUAGGAAGGAACACCAGUGGCGAAGGCGACCACCUGGACUGAUACUGACACUGACGGUGCGAAAGCGUGGGGAGCAAACAGGAUUAGAUACCGCGUAGGUAGUA
rnacentral:rRNA from 1 species